rnacentral:rRNA from 1 species
AGUGAACGCUGGCGGUAGGCCUAACACAUGCAAGUCGAACGGCAGCACAGGAGAGCUUGCUCUCUGGGUGGCGAGUGGCGGACGGGUGAGGAAUACAUCGGAAUCUACUCUGUCGUGGGGGAUAACGUAGGGAAACUUACGCUAAUACCGCAUACGACCUACGGGUGAAAGCAGGGGACCUUCGGGCCUUGCGCGAUUGAAUGAGCCGAUGUCGGAUUAGCUAGUUGGCGGGGUAAAGGCCCACCAAGGCGACGAUCCGUAGCUGGUCUGAGAGGAUGAUCAGCCACACUGGAACUGAGACACGGUCCAGACUCCUACGGGAGUCAGCAGUGGGGAAUAUUGGACAAUGGGCGCAAGCCUGAUCCAGCCAUACCGCGUGGGCGAAGAAGGCCUUCGGGUUGUAAAGCCCUUUUGUUGGGAAAGAAAUCCAGCUGGCUAAUACCCGGUUGGGAUGACGGUACCCAAAGAAUAAGCACCGGCUAACUUCGUGCCAGCAGCCGCGGUAA